rnacentral:rRNA from 1 species
GACGAACGCUGGCGGCGUGCUUAACACAUGCAAGUCGAACGGUGAAGCGCCUUCCUUUUUGGUGGGUGUGGAUGAGUGGCGAACGGGUGAGUAACACGUGAGUAACCUGCCCCCUUCUUCUGGAUAACCGCAUGAAAGUGUGGCUAAUACGGGAUAUUCUGGGUCUGUCGCAUGAUGGGUCUGGGAAAGAUAUUGUUUCGGUGGGGGAUGGGCUCGCGGCCUAUCAGCUUGUUGGUGGGGUGAUGGCCUACCAAGGCGGUGACGGGUAGCCGGCCUGAGAGGGUGGACGGUCGCACUGGGACUGAGACACGGCCCAGACUCCUACGGGAGGCAGCAGUGGGGAAUAUUGCACAAUGGGCGCAAGCCUGAUGCAGCGACGCCGCGUGAGGGAUGGAGGCCUGCGGGUUGUGAACCUCUUUCGCCAGUGAAGCAGGCCUGCCUCGUUUGUGGGUGGGUUGACGGUAGCUGGAUAAGAAGCGCCGGCUAACUACGUG